rnacentral:rRNA from 1 species
GAUGAACGCUGGCGGCGUGCCUAAUACAUGCAAGUCGAGCGAACGGACGAGAAGCUUGCUUCUCUGAUGUUAGCGGCGGACGGGUGAGUAACACGUGGAUAACCUACCUAUAAGACUGGGAUAACUUCGGGAAACCGGAGCUAAUACCGGAUGAUAUUUUGAACCGCAUGGUUCAAAAGUGAAAGACGGUCUUGCUGUCACUAUUAGAUGGUCCGCGCUGCAUUAGCUAGUUGGUAAGGUAACGGCUUACCAAGGCAACGAUGCAUAGCCGACCUGAGAGGGUGAUCGGCCACACUGGAACUGAGACACGGUCCAGACUCCUACGGGAGGCAGCAGUAGGGAAUCUUCCGCAAAGGGCGAAAGCCUGACGGAGCAACGCCGCGUGAGUGAUGAAGGUCUUCGGAUCGUAAAACUCUGUUAUUAGGGAAGAACAUAUGUGUAAGUAACUGUGCACAUCUUGACGGUACCUAAUCAGAAAGCCACGGCUAACUACGUG